rnacentral:rRNA from 1 species
UACGUAGGUCCCGAGCGUUGUCCGGAUUUAUUGGGCGUAAAGCGAGCGCAGGUGGUUUAUUAAGUCUGGUGCAAAAGGCAGUGGCUCAACCAUUGUAUGCAUUGGAAACUGGUAGACUUGGGUGCAGGAGAGGAGAGUGGAAUUCCAUGUGUAGCGGUGAAAUGCGUAGAUAUAUGGAGGAACACCGGUGGCGAAAGCGGCUCUCUGGCCUGUAACUGACACUGAGGCUCGAAAGCGUGGGGAGCAAACAGG